rnacentral:rRNA from 1 species
AUAUGGUUAAGCUACUAAGAGCACACGGAGGAUGCCUAGGCGCUAGGAGCCGAAGAAGGACGUGGCGAACAACGAAACUGCCUCGGGGAGCUGUAAG